UACGUUGACAUGUCUGCGUCAACGCUACAUCGCUGGUUCAAUAGAUACAUUUUCAAAUAAGUGAUUAUGAAGCUUUUGUAAAGCACUCUGGACAACCCAUGAUAGAAAUAAAGCUCAAUAUAAGUGCACUCCGCUUCACAUUUAGCUUAAAACGGAAUUUGCCAUUUCUUGGACUAUGAUCUGUUUUUUCGCAAAAAGUACGAUCAGUACUCCGUUCCAAUGAAUUCAGAACUUGUUCAUUUAUGUCAACAGAAAUAGCAAACGGGGAUUUGGGGUGAGAGUCCAAGCUCGACGACAAAUAAUCAAUUUCUGGCCAUCUUACAUCCGUGUAUCGCAUAGGACGACAUUAAGUAACCAGUUGUGUGUCUUCCAGUAGCAGUCUGUCACUAUUCCAGGGCCAAAUAGCUACGGGGGCGUUACCAAGCUGCAAAAAUGUCAAGGGUACAGCCGCAGUACGUUCGACUGAGGUUACGACCUCAGUGACAAGCCACUAAAGUGAGCUGACGGAAUGCAGGCUAACGUGAAGUGAAUCUCACGAGCCGUUUUGGCUCUUCAAAAACACAACGCAAAAGGUCUUCGAGCUGUCAGAGUAGAAACGAAAAUGAAAAGACGUGUGCGAGCAUGCCGACUCGCCAACGCGGCACCAAAACGAGUCUGUUGUCAAAGCCAAACUCUGCGAUGCCUUGCACACCUCACACUCGAUGACUUAGACCGGCUGAGCCCACUGUUGUCGAAGCAGUCACUUACAACGACAACAUUAUAAACACUGUCAAUCAGCCAAUGAGCAGGAUGAAGUCAGCCCUUGCCCCCCCCCCCCAAUCAAUAACAAUUACGCACCAGAACAAGUGUUGAAUCUGAUACAGUCCUGACAAUUUCCGGGAUUGUUGGCAUUUUGGAAAUGAAGAACUCCAGAUUUACACCCCCAUCUUGUCAGUACUGCCCCCCACCCCCAAAAAAGGAAAUCAAAUCUGUUGCAAAUGAAUGGCUGCCAGCGGAGUGCCAAGUGUGAGAACAGCGCCUUGGUUUUCUCAAGUUAACUUUGCGUAUUGAUGGGAGGAACAAUAAUUAUGGAUGAGACCCCGGACUUCAAAUGAUGAGCUUAUUACUGACAAAUGGGGGAUGUGCAACGUUCGUCAGGGGUGCGGGGAACUGAUUAGUGAUUCAAUGCGUCAUGCUGGCUGGAGAAAACUUCUCCUUGGUGGAGGUAAUAAAGGAGAAGCAUUUUGGCUGACGUGAAUUAUUGCAGAUAAACAUAUCAAUGAAAUCAUUUCUGGCCUGCUUGGAGGAAGAAAUAUGCCUUAAGAGGUCUACUGUUCUCAAGGAUGACAUUUUGGACAGCGGCAAUUCUAUCAAGCAGCCCUGGCUUCAAGGUUGCGCAUUCGUCAGCAGCAACGUUAGCCGUCAAACUUUUUAUGCGGUGGACGAGUCAUCCAACCCCGCAGCUCUCAGAAUUAUUUCCAAACAUUGAAGGCGACCUGCAAUUGUCAUUUCAAGCGGAUUACAGGCAUACAUUGGUACAUCUAUUUACGAACGUCGAAUUUCAAUUCAUGUGAAACUUUCAAGUUACGAAACGUCUCAACAGGAAAAUAUUGCCUAUUGUUACGAAAUAAUUUUCUAGAUCCGAAAGGUAAAAAGACACUACGGGCUGCUACUCGCAGCUCCGAGUUUCCUGAGCUCAAAAUAUUUAUAGCUGCUCUGCCAUUGGCUAUUACCGAGCAUCAUCCUGGCAUCCCAUUGGCUAAAAGGGACUCCUACCGAAUGCGUCUAUGCAGCGUCCUAGUCGUUCGCCCCUCGGGCCAGGAUGCGUUCCCACCGUUUUACGUAAAUGUGAAUCAUCCAGAAAAUGUGUUGACCAGUCGGGCGAUCGCUCACUAUGCUGAUGUUUGCUUUGGACAAUUUCGAAGGAUUGUUCAAAGCCGACAAAAGCAAACGUCCUUGGAUCAGUUCUUUACAAAACGCCAGGCAAAAACCACUUCUGAGAGAGAACAUGGACUAAAGAGGGCAAGAAACGAGGAGGCCGCAGUUAAAAGUUAAAUGAUCUUUGUUUUAAAACGUUUUUUUUUACAUUAUGCACAAGUCUCAUUUAUUGUGCAAUGAUCUACUUGUAGCAUGCAUUGGUUCCAUAUUUUGAUGCAUUUUGAUGGUUUAGGAAACAUUUUUGUCUGAAAUUUGACGGGGCCUGGAACGAAUUAGGGCAUUUACAUGCAAAAUGCGUCUCGACUUACAUUUUCUACUGAAGAAAUUUCUUCCAGAACCAAUUCAUCUCGUAAGUAGAUGUACCACUGUCCUGCCAAAUCAAGUCGAAUUUGAACAUUUUCCACCCUCUGAUCAAAGUCCGCCAAACCUUGAUUCUCGGAUUCUCAUGAACGAUAAUCCUGUGGUGCGCUGUUAAGAGUGACACGGUGCGCUCAUCGGUUGCUGCUGCACAUGGCAUCAAAUGAACGACAUACGCCCGCUUUUAUGACUUAUCUGCGUAAGGCACAUGAUAAGAAAAUAAUAAAUGCAAAAAAAAAAAUGUGUGAAAGGGACUUUCGAACCAUUCGAGGACACACGGCUUGAAAUGACAACAAUAAACACAGCAAACAUUGGACUCUUGCUGAGACUAUCAGUUGCCCUGAAUCUCAACUUUUGCAUACUUGACCUUCCUUCUCCUCUAUCCCCAUUUGUUUGUAUUCUGCUCUACAAUUUUGAAAUACAGGGGAAAAUACAAAUUUAAAACAGCGCCGGGCCGAGCAGAACCAAGCCAAGUUUGAUGGAAAAGCCUCAUCAGUGUGAACAUGGGAACCUACUACCAAACAACCAUUUCAUCAAAACACAUGAAGGACGGGCUAAAGGGAGGUAUCUUGACCUGCAGAACAGGUAUGGAAACACACGAAGAAUGCACAGGAGACACCUUUGUCAAACAGGCAUCCACACAGGUAAGAACAGGUCUCCGCCGCGUAUCUGACAUUCCUUCCCGCGCUGGCGCUCCUCCCACCACGAUAGCACUGCACACGCUUCUCCUCGAAUCUCCUUGACGCCCGCUCUUUCUAAUUGAAACCAAUGCAAGAGCUCGAUGCAAAAACGCAGCCUUUCACUAAGACCACAGCGCUCGGUUUUUGAUUGCCGCGUGUCAGAGAGGUAUUCAUUAACGUCAUCGAUAUCGAUAUUUACUAUUGUGUUUGCAGUCUAGUCGAUUAUCCUAUUUAGCCACACCUAUAAUGCAACUAUGUCUGUGAGGUUGAAACUGCUUUUUAAAAAAAAGCCAACGCAGCAUUAAAUAAAUUUGAUUUGACAGAAUGAGCUGCCCAAAAGCAAUGACAAGACAAGACGUGUAUAUCAGCGGACCUUAAGAUACAGUAAAUUCCGUCAAUUACGACCUUUACUCCCCGACAAUCACUUGCGACAGACAAACCUGUCGAUUGUCUGUCACAACUGAGGCUUGAUCUACUGCUCGGUCAUUGGACCAACGUAGAAGGCGAUCAAUAUUUACAUCACAAGUAACCCUACGAGCUGCCUCGGGUUAAUUGCUAGUGAUCUGCUGGUGGGCAGGAAACUCAACCAUCAUGCACAUGGCACACAACAUGAGGUGAACCUGCACCGAUGACUUUACAGUCACACAAUGAAUUUUGUCAAGCAUAUGAACAACGUUUUUCUUCUCUCGUAAAUGAUGUAUUGAUGAGCAGGAAAUGUUCAUUUCAGAUAUCUGUGACUGAAUUGUGAUGAGUGGAAAGGACAGAAAAAUCCACUGUUCACUUUUACCUCCGCGGUCCGACAUUAAUGGUGGCUCAAUGGCCCUGGGCCGCUAUGGCAUGUGUCAGGCACCACAGAUGCUGGCCUGACUGGGCCAGUGGUGAUUUAAUAAAUAAUAUGAUGAUAUGCACCAAAGGAAGAUAUGCGAAUCGUGUCAUAUUGUCUGUUGGAUGUUGCAUUACCUUUGGUCAACUUUGAUGGAUUGUACCACUCCAACAUGGAUGCUAUCUAGUGCUAGCAUUCGCACAUCAAUUGAGUUUCCCCACAUUUAUUAGCAUUAGCAUUUUUCUGGUGGACCUAAAAAAAGGGGGGGAUAGUUUAAUUCUUUGUUUUACUUUGUACAAGUUUAACUGCAAACUUCAACCAAGGUUGUCAAUAAACUUCUUGGGGGGGAAAAAAAUGAUUUCCAGAUUUUUCUGGGUAAAACGAUGCAGGUUAUUUUAUUAAUCAUCACUUUGCUGGUAAAAGAGAUGUGAUUGUCUGUGCCCUUCAAUAAAUUUGUACACAUUAUGUGGCAAUGUUACGGCAACGCAUGAGAAAUUUGGGUUUGUGUUUUGAGCCCGUGUGCUGAUCGGUAUGGGACAGAAAUGGGACAAGGCCCAGCAACAGACUGGCACGCAACAUAGCCGUGCAUUAACUUCUCUUUCCUUGUGCAACAAAAAUAAACACCACUGCUCGAAAUACCUGUAAUACACAAUCAAGAAGAAAACUCCACAGUUAAAGUACAAAAAAAAAAAGUUGACGGCCAUCAGUCGCUGUAUUUAUGUCAUAAUAUUCACGCCGCCACUUCUCCCACCCAGUUACUCACGAGAACCACCAUCUUGCGUAAUCGAAAGGAACACAACAAGUACAAAUAAUCCACAGCUUCAAACGGACACGUCCACAGUCUACGCGCUUUUAAAAACAAACAACCAUUAGAAAUAAUCCUCAGCAUCAAAAAAUAGAAGUCGGCUAUGGAUUGCUCACGCACGGGCAAUGUCCACAACACGUCAUACGAAAGCUCCUCUCACCAAUGUUUCAUGACAACCUACAUCUCGCACAAUCGAAAUGAACCAAACUACCGGGGAUUAGAAGUAACCAACCGCUUCAAUUAAAAAAAAAAUAAUCUGUGGUACACAGCCUUUGACACACCCCGUUAGUAAUGCGACUGCUCCUCUUGGCAGUCAGUCAAGCUAACUACCACCUUGCACAAUAGAAGUAAACAGACGGACUAAAAAAAA